GAAGAAAGUGAGAGUCAGACCUCUCGAGUCACAGUGUUUGCGGGAGUCUGGGUGGGGGCAGGUCAGUCAGGGGAGGUCAUCAGGUCUUGACAAAGCCAGAACAAGUGACAGCUGCUUUCAGCCAGAGACUGACAAUAAGACGAGCAGCCACUGGGCAGUCCAGAGACACCUUCUGCAAAGCCACGUCUGAGAAGCCCUAUGCUCCAAAGCCUCAAAAAUGAAGUGUGCCCUCAUAUACUCAGAUGCCAACCCCAGGAAAAAGAAAUGAAGCAGAAACAGAAGCCAGAGAGAUGAGGAAAAUAACUGGAGUUCCUUCCAGUCCUGAGGUAGAGAGGAUAAAUAACUUGAUGAAGGUCAGAGAAGUAGAAAGUUGCAGAACUGGGAUUAAGACCCAGACAGUCCAGCUGCAGAGCAUGCUUGAUCAUG
rnacentral:lncRNA from 10 species